AUUGAACGCUGGCGGCAUGCCUUACACAUGCAAGUCGAACGGCAGCACGGGAGCAAUCCUGGUGGCGAGUGGCGAACGGGUGAGUAAUAUAUCGGAACGUGCCCGGUCGUGGGGAUAACGUAGCGAAAGCUACGCUAAUACCGCAUACGAUCUACGGAUGAAAGCGGGGGAUCGCAAGACCUCGCGCGAUUGGAGCGGCCGAUAUCAGAUUAGGUAGUUGGUGAGGUAAAGGCUCACCAAGCCGACGAUCUGUAGCUGGUCUGAGAGGACGACCAGCCACACUGGGACUGAGACACGGCCCAGACUCCUACGGGAGGCAGCAGUGGGGAAUUUUGGACAAUGGGGGCAACCCUGAUCCAGCAAUGCCGCGUGAGUGAAGAAGGCCUC
rnacentral:rRNA from 1 species